rnacentral:rRNA from 1 species
CCUACGGGAGGCAGCAGUGGGGAAUAUUGCACAAUGGGGGGAACCCUGAUGCAGCGACGCCGCGUGGGUGAAGGAGUACUUCGGUACGUAAAGCCCUAUUAGCAGGAAAGAAAAUGACGGUACCUGACUAAGAAGCCCCGGCUAACUACGUGCCAACAGCCGCGGUAAAACGAGAGGGGCAAGCGUUAUCCGGAUUUACUGGGUGUAAAGGGAGCGUAGGCGGCAGUGCAAGUCCGGAGUUAAAGCCGCGGGCCUAAACCUGGGACCGCCCUGGAAACUGUGAAGCUGGAGUGCGGGAGAGGCAGGCGGAAUUCCUGGUGUAGCGGUGAAAUGCGUAGAUAUCAGGGAGAACACCGGCGGCGAAGGCGGC